AAUAGUACACUGGUGAAUCUUAAUCAUUAUUUUCAAAAACAUGUUUUAAAGGUAAAAAUGAUUUUUUUUAAAUCAAAUAUCAUGAAUUAUCCUUAAAUAUCAUGUUUUUACAUAGUCGCACCACAUGACAUUUUACAACCUGAAAUAACCUUGUCAUGACAUAAAUAGGUCAAAUGAUCUGAUAUUUUAAGAGCCUUAUUGAGUUUGACACAGUCAUGAGGGUCUGCAGGGGUCCUCUCUAUGACAUUAUUUCCUGUUUUAAGUUUUCUUCAGCAUGUUUCACCACUGCGUCUCACCUUACGAGGUUGGCCGUCAUGUCCCAGCACCUCCCUGUAAUACUCCACAUUCUCAGUCAUAAACUCUUCACCUUCAUGGAAUAACAGGUAGGUCAAAGCGCACUCCAGUGCCUUUUCAUUCCUCCCAGCUGAACACACAGAAAACAGAAAGAUUUAUUAAGUGUUAAUGAAGCCACCAAGGCUCUGUUUCUUGGCUCAUCUGGAAGAUUAUUAUCCUGUGAUUCUUUGGAGUCAUCUUUUCCCACAGUCACGUUUAUUUCCUUUUGGAGACCUACGCGCUUGGAAACAUUCGCAUUCCAGGCCAGUGACCACAAUGGAACAAACUCCACAGGGCUGAGCGAGUGGAAACACGGCUUUGAGACAUGCAACAGAGACGCCACUCGCACACACACCUGAAUGACUUGCCAUUUUAUGAACAAUAAGCAGCUAAGUGUCUGUACAAGUAAAAUUUCUCAUAUCAGAGCUCAUUUUCUUAAGGUAGGAGUGAAAAGUUCAGCUUUGACAUUUCCAAGAAGAACUCAAUCAAGUAUAUUUAUGAGACUCUCCUUCUCCUUGAGAACUAUUUGUACAGUUUGACUGAUGGAAGUUGGUUGAGUUGUUGCCAAUAUCUUCUAUCCUGAGUACAAAGUCCAAGAAGAGAAUUGGGGUCAGAUACUAAAUCAAGCCCAAAGAGGUUUAGUCCAAGACUAGAAGUUGUAAAGGGAUUCCUUGCUGAAUUCUGAGACAUGCCAUCAUGGACAAAACCCCCUGAAGCUAACGUAAGGAACACUGACAAGUCCUGUGAAGAACAAGUCCUCUCACGACUGGCCAAUUCUUUAAUCUUUCCCAAAAUGUUUUGAGACACAUUUAGGCCAUAAAUGCAUGUCAAUCAUGCUACAGUUUUUCACAUCCCUCUUUAAUCAACAGAAUUCAAUCAGCAAUAAUUAAGAAGCCAUUAUUAAUUUUACAAGCCAAACAGUGGGGGGACGUUAUGAUAUAAGUGUUGGUGAAUUAUGACUCCCUGUUUGACUUUUAUGGGCUCUGUGCCUUUCACAUGAUUAAAAGAUGUCCAUUAGUUAUAUUGGUUCCCUUCACACUACCAUUGCAGCAGUUUUACUGAAAUUGAAGCAUUACAAGCUGGACAGAAAGCAGCUAGAAUUGUAGUUCUGUCAAUAACUGGUUAUAUGAAUAUGAUAAAUGAAAUACACUGCCAUUCAAAAGAUUUAAUGUUUUUGAAAGAAGUCUCUUUGCUCACAAGGCUCAAGGCUGCAAUUAUUUAAAUAAAAUAUUAUUACAAUUUAAAAAU